AGAGGAAACAGGGACAUGGAGGAAAUGAAACAGUGAAAGGGGAGGACUUAAGGAAGGGAUAAAGAAAGGGGCCUAUCAAAGGAUAGCCAACUUCCCCAGGCCUGUCUUGUCCCCAGUCACCAAGGCAGUGAUGCAGUGUAUCUCUGUGAGGGAAUAAGGACACCAAGCAGCUUGGUUCUGUGGACAAUGAGGCUUCAUGACUACCUGCAAACAACUAUGGGUGACAAGGUUACAAGGAUUUUCUACUUGUGGAUUUCAAUUCAACUGGAAAGACACCUCCUCAGGUCUCCCUACACUGCUGGAGUGGUUCUGCCAGCAUCUUCUAUCUUCCCAUCGUUGCCCUGGAUACCUGCCCAGUUCUCAUCCCCCACCUUCAAGAGAAGGCCGUAACCUUAGGCCUGGAACUGGAACUGGAGAGGAACCAAUGAGGCAAGGCCGGCAUAGCUUCAAGGAAUGAAGUCUGGGAAUGAAAAGAAAUCAGCUGCCCGGAAGCAAAUUGGCUGACUCUAACGAAGUUAAUCCAUGGAUAUUUGAUGAAGUCCAAACUAUCAUUAUAACUGUAAGUAUUUCAGCCCUAAGCAAUUUUCUGAUAACCUGGACAGAAGGGGAGUGAGUCAGGAUGGAUUUACUUCUAGAGCUAUGUAUGAGGGUGCAGGUUGGAGAAGGUCAAAGCCAGUCUGGGCUCCAUAUAAGUUCAGGGUGUGCUUUAACUGUAUAAUGAAACCCUGUCUCUAAUCUCUCAUAAGAAAACACAGACCUCUGAGUUCUUUGUUACAAUUUUACCUUGUGCAAGUCUCAUCUCAUUAUAAAGGUAACUCUAAAAUUCCCUUUCAAUACAGUUAGUACUUACAGGACUUAGAGACUUUUUUUAACUACAUUAAUUUUAAAUUUUUAUAUAUGUGUACCGUAUCUGCAGCACCCCUUCCUUCCAACUUCUUCCGUGUCUUGAAGGCUUUUGAAAAUUAGCCUUGUC